rnacentral:rRNA from 1 species
UACAGAGGUCUCAAGCGUUGUUCGGAUUCAUUGGGCGUAAAGGGCGCGUAGGCGGCGGGGUCAGUCGGGGUGUGAAAAUCUUGGGGGCUUAACCCCGAAACGGCACUCGAAACUGCCCGGCUGGAGGGCCGGAGAGGAGAUCGGAAUUCACGGUGUAGCAGUGAAAUGCGUAGAGAUCGUGAGGAAGACCCGUGGCGAAGGCGGAUCUCUGGACGGCUAAAACUGACGCUGAGGCGCGAAAGCGUGGGGAGCGAACCGG